AGGGUCCCUUUUUAUAGAUGGAGAGCGUAACUGAUUGACAACAACGUCUGUGACCGCCUGGUAGUGGGCCGUUCAGGGCCACGUGGAGUUUGUUACGGAGAGUAGUGGUGUCAGGGGCUGUUCAGGGCCACAUGGAAUUUGUUACGAAGAGUGAAGUGGUGUCCAUUGUCGCGACUUGUUAGAGAGUGGUGGAGCCAUACGGAAUCCAUUGCAGAGAGUGGAGUAGGGUAGUGGCCAUUGUCAUGACUUGCCAG
rnacentral:lncRNA from 1 species